rnacentral:rRNA from 1 species
UACGUAGGGGGCGAGCGUUGUCCGAAGUACUGGGCGUAAAGCGUGCGCAGGCGGUUUUGUAAGUCUGUCGUGAAAUCCCCCGGCUCAACCGGGGAACGGGCACCGAUACGGGCGGCCUCGAGGGGGGUAGGGGGGACCGUGGAACUUCCGGUGGAGCGGUGAAAUGCGUUGAGAUCGGAAAGAACACCAACGGCGAAAGCACUCUGCUGGGCCGACACUGACACUGAGAGACGAAAGCUAGGGGAGCGAACGGG